rnacentral:rRNA from 1 species
CCCUUAGAUGUCCGGGGCCGCACGCGCGCUACACUGAAGGAAUCAGCGUGGCUUUCUCCCUGACCCGAAAGGGUUGGGAAACCCGUUGAAUCUCCUUCGUGAUAGGGAUUGGGGCUUGAAAUUGUUCCCCAUGAACGAGGAAUUCCCAGUAAGCGCGAGUCAUAAGCUCGCGUUGAUUACGUCCCUGCCCUUUGUACACACCGCCCGUCGCUACUACCGAUUGAACGGUUUAGUGAGGGCCUCGGAUUGGUCUCGGCCCGCUCUUUACCGGGAGGCGCCGUUGGUCGAGAAGACGCUCGAACUUGAUCGUUUAGAGGAAGUAAAAGUCGUAACA